AAUUUUCCGCAAUGGGCGAAAGCCUGACGGAGCAACGCCGCGUGAGGGAAGAAGGUCUUCGGAUCGUAAACCUUUGUCAUCGAGGACGAUAAUGACGGUACUCGAGGAGGAAGCCCCGGCUAACUACGUGCCAGCAGCCGCGGUAACACGUAGGGGGCGAGCGUUGUCCGGAAUUACUGGGCGUAAAGGGCGCGUAGGCGGCCUAAUAAGUCAGAUGUGAAACCCCCGGGCUUAACCCUGGGCUUGCAUUUGAAACUGUUGGGCUUGAGGACAGGAGAGGAAAGCGGAAUUCCCAGUGUAGCGGUGAAAUGCGUAGAUAUUGGGAGGAACACCAGUGGCGAAGGCGGCUUUCUGGACUGUAACUGACGCUGAGGCGCGAAAGCCAGGGUAGCGAACG
rnacentral:rRNA from 1 species